UACGGAGGGUGCAAGCGUUAUCCGGAUUUACUGGGUUUAAAGGGUGCGUAGGCGGUUCUUUAAGUCAGUGGUGAAAUACUGCAGCUCAACUGUAGCAUUGCCAUUGAUACUGAAGAACUUGAGUACAGAUGAGGUAGGCGGAAUUUAUGGUGUAGCGGUGAAAUGCAUAGAUACCAUAAAGAACACCGAUUGCGAAGGCAGCUUACUAAGCUGUAACUGACGCUGAGGCACGAAAGCGUGGGGAGCGAACAGG
rnacentral:rRNA from 1 species